GAGCGAACGGGGAUUAGCCCUUAAGCUUCAUUGAUUUUAGCGGAACGCUCUGGAAAGUGCGGCCAUAGUGGGUGAUAGCCCCGUACGCGAAAGGAUCUUUGAAGUGAAAUCGAGUAGGACGGAGCACGAGAAACUUUGUCUGAACAUGGGGGGACCAUCCUCCAAGGCUAAAUACUACUGACUGACCGAUAGUGAACCAGUACCGUGAGGGAAAGGCGAAAAGAACCCCGGAGAGGGGAGUGAAAUAGAACCUGAAACCGUAUGCGUACAAGCAGUGGGAGCCUACUUGUUAGGUGACUGCGUACCUUUUGUAUAAUGGGUCAGCGACUUAUAUUCAGUGGCAAGCUUAACCGUAUAGGGUAGGCGUAGCGAAAGCGAGUCUUAAUAGGGCGUUUAGUCGCUGGGUAUAGACCCGAAACCGGGCGAUCUAUCCAUGAGCAGGUUGAAGGUUAGGUAACACUGACUGGAGGACCGAACCCACUCCCGUUGAAAAGGUAGGGGAUGACUUGUGGAUCGGAGUGAAAGGCUAAUCAAGCUCGGAGAUAGCUGGUUCUCCUCGAAAGCUAUUUAGGUAGCGCCUCAUGUAUCACUCUGGGGGGUAGAGCACUGUUUCGGCUAGGGGGUCAUCCCGACUUACCAAACCGAUGCAAACUCCGAAUACCCAGAAGUGCCGAGCAUGGGAGACACACGGCGGGUGCUAACGUCCGUCGUGAAAAGGGAAACAACCCAGACCGCCAGCUAAGGUCCCAAAGUUGUGGUUAAGUGGUAAACGAUGUGGGAAGGCUUAGACAGCUAGGAGGUUGGCUUAGAAGCAGCCAUCCUUUAAAGAAAGCGUAAUAGCUCACUAGUCGAGUCGGCCUGCGCGGAAGAUGUAACGGGGCUCAAACCACACACCGAAGCUGCGGGUGUCACGUAAGUGACGCGGUAGAGGAGCGUUCUGUAAGCCUGUGAAGGUGAGUUGAGAAGCUUGCUGGAGGUAUCAGAAGUGCGAAUGCUGACAUGAGUAACGACAAUGGGUGUGAAAAACACCCACGCCGAAAGACCAAGGGUUCCUGCGCAACGUUAAUCGACGCAGGGUUAGUCGGUUCCUAAGGCGAGGCUGAAAAGCGUAGUCGAUGGGAAACAGGUUAAUAUUCCUGUACUUCUGGUUACUGCGAUGGAGGGACGGAGAAGGCUAGGCCAGCUUGGCGUUGGUUGUCCAAGUUUAAGGUGGUAGGCUGAAAUCUUAGGUAAAUCCGGGGUUUCAAGGCCGAGAGCUGAUGACGAGUCGUCUUUUAGAUGACGAAGUGGUUGAUGCCAUGCUUCCAAGAAAAGCUUCUAAGCUUCAGGUAACCAGGAACCGUACCCCAAACCGACACAGGUGGUCGGGUAGAGAAUACCAAGGCGCUUGAGAGAACUCGGGUGAAGGAACUAGGCAAAAUGGCACCGUAACUUCGGGAGAAGGUGCGCCGGCUAGGGUGAAGGAUUUACUCCGUAAGCUCUGGCUGGUCGAAGAUACCAGGCCGCUGCGACUGUUUAUUAAAAACACAGCACUCUGCAAACACGAAAGUGGACGUAUAGGGUGUGACGCCUGCCCGGUGCCGGAAGGUUAAUUGAUGGGGUUAGCGCAAGCGAAGCUCUUGAUCGAAGCCCCGGUAAACGGCGGCCGUAACUAUAACGGUCCUAAGGUAGCGAAAUUCCUUGUCGGGUAAGUUCCGACCUGCACGAAUGGCGUAACGAUGGCGGCGCUGUCUCCACCCGAGACUCAGUGAAAUUGAAAUCGCUGUGAAGAUGCAGUGUAUCCGCGGCUAGACGGAAAGACCCCGUGAACCUUUACUGUAGCUUUGCACUGGACUUUGAGCCUGCUUGUGUAGGAUAGGUGGGAGGCUUUGAAGCGUGGACGCCAGUUCGCGUGGAGCCAUCCUUGAAAUACCACCCUGGCAUGCUUGAGGUUCUAACUCUGGUCCGUAAUCCGGAUCGAGGACAGUGUAUGGUGGGCAGUUU
rnacentral:rRNA from 1 species